AACGAACGCUGGCGGCAGGCCUAACACAUGCAAGUCGAGCGCCCCGCAAGGGGAGCGGCGCACGGGUGAGUAACGCGUGGGAACAUGCCCAGAGGUCGGGAAUAACGGCGGGAAACUGCCGCUAAUACCCGGUAAGCCUUGAGAGGGAAAGGAGCAAUCCGCCUUUGGAGUGGCCCGCGUUGGAUUAGCUAGUUGGUGGGGUAAAAGCCUACCAAGGCUACGAUCCAUAGCUGGUCUGAGAGGAUGAUCAGCCACACUGGGACUGAGACACGGCCCAGACUCCUACGGGAGGCAGCAGUGGGGAAUAUUGGACAAUGGGGGAAACCCUGAUCCAGCCAUGCCGCGUGAGUGAAGAAGGCCCUAGGGUUGUAAAGCUCUUUCGACGGGGACGAUGAUGACGGUACCCGUAGAAGAAGCCCCGGCUAAC
rnacentral:rRNA from 1 species